rnacentral:rRNA from 1 species
CCGCUUGAGGAUGAGUCUGCGGCCCAUCAGCUUGUUGGUAGUGUAAAGGACUACCAAGGCAAAGACGGGUAGCUGGUCUGAGAGGAUGAACAGCCACACUGGAACUGAGACACGGUCCAG